rnacentral:ncRNA from 1 species
GUGGAGCUCGGUCAUUGGGCUCGCGGACGAGGGAGCAGUACCCGCAAAGCGAAAAGACUGCCACC